rnacentral:tRNA from 1 species
GGGGUUGUGGCUCAGUAGUAGAGUGCUUGCCUAGCAUGCAUGAGGCACUGGGUUCGAUCCUUAGCACCA